AAAAGGGGAGCUGAAUGGCUGAGAGUAGGUUAGACCUUGACCCGUAACCUGAUGUGGAUAAUGCCAACGUAGGGAAAUAGUUUCUU
rnacentral:ncRNA from 1 species